rnacentral:rRNA from 1 species
CCUUACCUACCCUUGACAUGUCUGGAAUCCUGAAGAGAUUUGGGAGUGCUCGAAAGAGAGCCAGAACACAGGUGCUGCAUGGCCGUCGUCAGCUCGUGUCGUGAGAUGUUGGGUUAAGUCCCGCAACGAGCGCAACCCUUGUCAUUAGUUGCUACGAAGGGGCACUCUAAUGAGACUGCCGGUGACAAACCGGAGGAAGGUGGGGAUGACGUCAGGUCCUCAUGGCCCUUAUGGGUAGGGCUACACACGUCAUACAAUGGCCGGUACAGAGGGCUGCCAACCCGCGAGGGGGAGCCAAUCCCAGAAAACCGGUCGUAGUCCGGAUCGCAGUCUGCAACUCGACUGCGUGAAGUCGGAAUCGCUAGUAAUCGCGGAUCAGCUUGCCGCGGUGAAUACGUUCCCGGGUCUUGUACACACCGCCCGUCACACCAUGGGAGCGGGUUCUGCCAGAAGUAGUUAGCCUAACCGCAAGGAGGGCGAUUACCACGGCAGGGUUCGUGACUGGGGUGAAGUCGUAACAAGGUAGCCGUAUCGGAAGGUGCGGCUGGAUCACCUCCUU